rnacentral:lncRNA from 1 species
CCUUAGGUCAGCAGACAUCAUAUUGAUCUCUACUGCUCCCGCAAACGGUGAUGUCUCGAUUCCCAUUGGUCGGUCUGCUAUCCGGAACAAACCUUUGUCCAAGUAAUCUUGAAUCAGAUUCCUGAAAUUUACACAAUUAUUUGUAGAGUGAGUCCAUUUCUCGUGCCAUUUACAAUAAUGUUUUCCUUUUCUUUCUUCUUCUUUAGGUAUCUUAUGUCCAGGCAGACAGGUCAAAAGCUGUUGAUAACCUGGCGGCUGCUUCAGAGCUUCAGAUGCCAACCAGUCGGCCGCGAUCUUACCCUCUCUCUUCUCUAUGAGUAUGCUUACAAAAGCACUGCCAAUCCCUUUGAACAAGAUUCCAGCAAGCUUGGAUCAGUUGUGCUUGAGGGUGAUUAGAGGAAAUCAAAUGAAUCACAGCAUGCAAACAAUAUUCAAAAUCAGUUUCAAGAAUGACCUGCUUGUAACCCAAAUCCCAUGCCAACAUAAGGCCACGGUAGAUGGCCCAGAAUUCAGCCACAUUCUUGGUUGUACAAUCCAAAUUCUCAAAGAAAGCAGACACCCAUCCGCAUUCAUUUUAACAUAUCAGGACUUUUCAUGAAAACUAAGUUGGCCUGCUCUUUGCCAUUAUUGUUUUGCGUGGUUAUUGAUGGGUUUGAAAGAACCUUUGAGACACACACCCCUGUGAUUGUCAUUGUAUGGCUCAAUCACAACAACAUCCGAACAAAUAUUUCCACGGCUUUAGUCUGGUUGUAUGGGAUUGAAUUUGGUCGACCACGUCUCAGCGCUAACACGAUCAACUAUUAGGUACCUACGUGCUGGUACGGGGCCGCAAGGGCUACCCAAGGAGGAAAGGAUAGAUGCCCUCGCAUCAUUGUCGGCUUCGUUAUAAGAUAUAUUUCUUCUUUUGUCGUUCCUAGAUAAGAAAAGGAUCGUCCGUUAUAUAAGGGGGAUCCAGGCCUUAUAAUGAGUUCGGUUGUUCUUUUAAACAAGAAAUAUAAUUCUCUCUCUCUCUACUCUUUAUCUCUCUACUGGUUCAUCCCCUCUACUAUUGCAAUUCCAUUUUCACUAAAACUAUCCUAGGGUUCAUUAUUUUCAACUACGAUUUACCUCUUCAUCUUUAUUGAUUGAUUUGCUUAAAAAGAGUUUAAUAUCUUUUGAGUCAAACAAUUUGGAACCGUCAGUGGGGAUUUCCAUAGUCAAAAUCAUAGUUCUCACCUAGGAUAUCGGAAUUGCCAAUUACAAUUCUUCACAUCCCGUAGAAGCUAACAAUGGCAGAGAAAAAAGUAAGGUUGACGAUGAUAACACGUGUCUCAAGUGGCUAGAAACCACGUGUUCAGUCUUGAUAAAGAAGUAUUUGUGCCAAUACUUAUGGCUCGGUCGGUCGUCUAUUCCAACCACCAGUCCCUUUGUGCCACAAAGCCUUAGAUGCACCAUUGUGCCCCUAAGGAAACUGGGGGAGAAUAAAUGCAAGAGGUGGUGCACGGAGACGUCACUCCUGGCUAGUUCCGCGUAUUUAGUCAACAAAAGGAGCACUUUGAGAGUGUAUGGCGUGAGCUGAGUUGGGCAGUAAUGAUAGAAUUUGCAGAACUCGGCUGCAGCAGGAUUUGAAAAAGGAAUUGAUCGUGACUUUGAAUCUGUUCUUUCCAUGACCCCUCUUAAUUGAGAUGAGACAUGAGAUCCAAUGCUUGAAUGAAGUAAAAAUCACUUUGAUUCAAUCAUACAUCUUGAAAUCAGCCUAAGUAUUCCUUUUUUCUUUUUUUUUUUUUUCAAUUCAUUUUAUCUAAUUUAUUUUUCUGGCUUGGCUAGGUGGGAUAGCCGAGCCAUUCCCUUUUCUUUCGGAUAGCAGGUUGGGCAAAACCCCAAAAGAAAAAGAGGCAGGGUAUAACCAAUCACAAAUGGGUACUCGUAGAAAGAACUGUACCCGGGUCUGUGAACGUUAGCGUAGUCCUCAUCUGCCAGAAUCAUCUCCACGUGAGCAUGGAUACCGUAUUUAACGUGAAGAGUGUCGAGAUUAGUUUGGUCUGUCUCCGAAAGUACGGGGCUUAGAGUAGGAGGUGGGUUCUUACUAAAGUCACUCCGAGAUGAGGAAUGUCAUGGUAGUGAUGCCUCCAGUGUAAGAGGACUGUCAUCAUCCUCCACCUCCACUUCUCCGCUAUUAGAGAAAGGCACUGCACUCACCGGAGCAAUCUCAGGAACUUCCUCAGUAGGGCGACGCGAUUUUGGCAUGAUUUUGUAUAGAAGUAGCAAGUCACACCAAUGGAGAAUGAGAAAAGAAGGCUUCCGAUCGAGAAUGAAAGUGAGAAAAUGAGGGGACGUGAAAACGAAAGAAGAAGAUUGAGAAGUUCUCAAGAAUGCCUAAAGUUCUUCAACGAAAUUAAACCCUUCACCUAUUUAUAAGGUUGGGUGGCGCCAUAAUCGAGGCGGAAGGCUUCAAAUCAGCACGGGAAACCAAGCGCCAAACCGUCAGUUUUUUUACCUCGAAAAUACGCAUAAUGAUGACGCAUGCGAACGCUGACGUCACCUAGGGAAGAGCGCUUUUUUUAAUGUUCUGCCAAAUGUGAUUACGAUCUCUCUCUACUGCCCAUGUCGUAACGUUUCGACAAGUCAAAUUCUCUUUAAAAGAGCAUUUAUUCCGCCCAUCGAGGACGCACCUCGCUGCGACCUGGACAAGCGGAGGGACUAACUGUAUUAAAUCAAAUUUAGUCGAUCACAUCUCAGCAGUAACAUGACCAACCAUUAGGUACCUACGUGCCGGUACAGGGGAAGGGGGUGACCCAAGGAGGAAAGGAUAAAUGCCCUCACAUCAUCGUAGACUUCGUUAUAAGAUAUGUUUCUUCCUUUGUCGUUCCUAGAUAAGAAAAGGAUCCUCAAUUAUAUAAGGGGGAUCCAAGCCUUGUAAUGAGUUCAGUUGUUCUUUUGGACAAGAAAUGUAAUUCUCUCUCUUUCUCUACUCUUUAUCUCUUUACUGGUUUAUCCCUCUACUAUUGCAAUUUCAUUUUUACUAAAACUAUCCUAGGGUUCAUUAUUUUCGAUUACGAUUUAACUCUUCGUCUUUGUUAAUUGAUUUGCUUAAAAAGAGUUUAAUAUCUUAUGAGUCAAACACUAAUGAUAAGAGUAUUGUACACACGUUACAAAUUCGUACAUUGGCACAAACAAAAAUGAAGUAUUUAAAUGGAGAAGAAUACAUACGUAAUAACCUUGGAACUGUAUAAAUCGAGAUUGAAACAUCUAUACCAGAGUCAUUAGCCGAAACCAACUCCACCAUCCAAAGUAGGUUAUACUAUACAAAAGAAAAGCGAAGAUCUAAAUGUUGAAAACUGAAAAAGAAAAGAAUAUAUGACAGGGCGACAGGGGUUACGGCUUUAUGCCUUUAUUCAUUCUUUCAUCAUGUCAGUUUAGCGAUUAUGGGGAGAUUCAUUCACUCCCUUCACUAAACUUAGAUUCACUCGUAUUCAGAUACCCUACCCUCCUUCCACCAAUAUAUAUUUAUAUAUUUAUUCUAUGCAAAAAAAGGACACCCGAUUCCCUUCUUUACAUCUCCAUU